ensembl:snoRNA SNORA70 Small nucleolar RNA SNORA70
UUGUAGCAAGUCAACCCCACCAGGUUCCCUUCCUCAUGGGGGCCCAGUGUGCAGUGACUGCAAACACCAUUCUUCUUGGUGAUAUGUGCAACCUGUUGCUUGUAUGAGUUGCCCUAAGGGACCUUGAAGACAGUU